GACGAACGCUGGCGGCGUGCUUAACACAUGCAAGUCGAACGGAAAGGCCCUUCGGGGUACUCGAGUGGCGAACGGGUGAGUAACACGUGGGUGAUCUGCCCUGCACUUUGGGAUAAGCCUGGGAAACUGGGUCUAAUACCGGAUAGGACUACGGGCUGCAUGGUCUGUGGUGGAAAGAUUUUGCGGUGUGGGAUGGGCCCGCGGCCUAUCAGCUUGUUGGUGGGGUGAUGGCCUACCAAGGCGACGACGGGUAGCCGGCCUGAGAGGGUGACCGGCCACACUGGGACUGAGAUACGGCCCAGACUCCUACGGGAGGCAGCAGUGGGGAAUAUUGCACAAUGGGCGCAAGCCUGAUGCAGCGACGCCGCGUGAGGGAUGACGGCCUUCGGGUUGCAAACCUCUUUCAGUGCCGACGAAGCGCAAGUGACGGUAGGCAUAGAAGAAGGACCGGCCAACUACGUGCCAGCCGCCGCGGUAA
rnacentral:rRNA from 1 species